rnacentral:rRNA from 1 species
GUGGGGAAUAUUGGACAAUGGGCGAAAGCCUGAUCCAGCAAUGCCGCGUGAGUGAUGAAGGCCUUAGGGUUGUAAAGCUCUUUUACCCGGGAUGAUAAUGACAGUACCGGGAGAAUAAGCUCCGGCUAACUCCGUGCCAGCAGCCGCGGUAAUACGGAGGGAGCUAGCGUUAUUCGGAAUUACUGGGCGUAAAGCGCACGUAGGCGGCUUUGUAAGUAAGAGGUGAAAGCCCAGAGCUCAACUCUGGAAUUGCCUUUUAGACUGCAUCGCUUGAAUCAUGGAGAGGUCAGUGGAAUUCCGAGUGUAGAGGUGAAAUUCGUAGAUAUUCGGAAGAACACCAGUGGCGAAGGCGGCUGACUGGACAUGUAUUGACGCUGAGGUGCGAAAGCGUGGGGAGCAA